UACGUAGGGGGCAAGCGUUGUCCGGAAUCAUUGGGCGUAAAGAGCUCGUAGGUGGUUUGUCGCGUUGUUCGUGAAAACCGGGGGCUUAACCCUCGGCGUGCGGGCGAUACGGGCAGACUGGAGUACUGCAGGGGAGACUGGAAUUCCUGGUGUAGCGGUGGAAUGCGCAGAUAUCAGGAGGAACACCGGUGGCGAAGGCGGGUCUCUGGGCAGUAACUGACGCUGAGGAGCGAAAGCGUGGGGAGCGAACAGG
rnacentral:rRNA from 1 species